UACGGAAGGCAGCAGUGGGGAAUAUUGCACAAUGGGCGCAAGCCUGAUGCAGCCAUGCCGCGUGUAUGAAGAAGGCCUUCGGGUUGUAAAGUACUUUCAGCGGGGAGGAAGGCGAUGCGGUUAAUAACCGCGUCGAUUGACGUUACCCGCAGAAGAAGCACCGGCUAACUCCGUGCCAGCAGCCGCGGUAAUACGGAGGGUGCAAGCGUUAAUCGGAAUUACUGGGCGUAAAGCGCACGCAGGCGGUCUGUUAAGUCAGAUGUGAAAUCCCCGGGCUUAACCUGGGAACUGCAUUUUGAAACUGGCAGGCUUGAGUCUUGUAGAGGGGGUAGAAUUCCAGGUGUAGCGGUGAAAUGCGUAGAGAUCUGGAGGAAUACCGGUGGCGAAGGCGGCCCCUGGACAAAGCUGACGCUCAGGGU
rnacentral:rRNA from 1 species